UACAGAGGUCUCAAGCGUUGUUCGGAUUCAUUGGGCGUAAAGGGUGCGUAGGUGGCGCCGUAAGUCAGGUGUGAAAUCUCGGGGCUCAACCCCGAAACUGCAUUUGAUACUGCGGUGCUCGAGUACUGGAGAGGAGAUUGGAAUUUACGGUGUAGCAGUGAAAUGCGUAGAUAUCGUGAGGAAGACCAGUUGCGAAGGCGGAUCUCUGGGCAGUUCCUGACACUGAGGCACGAAGGCCAGGGGAGCAAACGGG
rnacentral:rRNA from 1 species